UUGAAAAAUCCAAUGUCAUGGUCAUUGUUUUACAUUAUAAAGCCUCAAUAUUUAGUGCGCAUUUAAAACCUGGCGCCUCCUAAUCUCUUGACCCCCCUCAAUUCAAUUCUUGGAAAUUCAAUCCCCCACAUUUUUUUUCCAAGCUAAUUGUAAACAAAUCGUCAAGUGUCGCAUCAUCUCAUGUAACGCCAAGAUAAUAAUUAUUAAACUAUAAAAUUUGUAUUUAUUAUCAAUAAAAGUGAUUGGAAAUAAAUCAUUGUCAGCAGCAGCAUAAGCUGUCAAGCAAAUCUGUUGGGGGAAAUCCCAACUGAAACUUGAUAAGAAAAAAAAAAAAAAAACAAACGCAGCAAGAAAAUUUCAGCGAAAACUAAACAUGAGCCGUGGCCAAGAAAACACGUGAGUGAGGGCAGAACUGGAAAACCAUCGUUUAAUCUAACGGGACUUUUGGUAUAAAUAGUGAAAACUGGAGGUGAGAAAGUAUCAUUCGACAAAAUGAAAAUCUACGCUUUAUUUGCAUUUGUAUUGGCCCUUUUGGCACUGGCCAUGGGCAACCCCAAUCCCAAUCCUAAACCCUUACCCGGCGGAGGUGGUGGCGGAGGCGGCGGUGGUGGCUCCUUUGGAGGUGGUGGUGGCGGCGGAGGCGGUGGUGGUGGCAAGUAAAUUCGUAACACCCAGCUGCUCAGUUCCUAGUUGUUGACCACGCUUUUGUUAAAAAAUGUUGAGAUUUGUUAAAAAAUAAUAAAAAUUUUUGAAAUAUAUUUUUUUAAAUAUCAUCGAAAAUAA